UCCGGUGGGGGAGGUGGGGUGCAGACCCUUGAGGGACAGACGACCCCUGAGUGACGGACGGGCCUCCCGGGUGGGGGGGUGCAGACCCCCGAGGGACAGACGACCCCUGAGGGACAGAGGGGUCUCCGGGUGGGGGAGGUGGGGGUGCAGACCUCUGAGGGACAGACGACCCCUGAGGGACAGACGGGCCUCCCGGUGGGGGGGCCGAGGCACCCCUGAUGGGGGAGGAGGAGGUGGAAGGGUGCCUGGGGGGCAGUGCUGACCCCGCCGUGGAGGAGGAAAAAGGGAUCUGGGAGGCAGCAGUCCAGCUGUGGGGCGAGGACCGACCCCUGCGGAGAAGGUAGAAGGCGGCCCUUCCAGGGGGCCUGCGGAGGCCGAGGGGGGCAGAGGACAGACCCGGGAGGCAGGGCUGGGGCUGGGGUGGUCUUGGAAGUCAGCUGGAAGGGUACCAGGAGGAAGUCAGCGCUCGGUUGGGAGGUUGCUGAGACCCGAUUGAGGGAGGAGCAAACUUGAGGUCCUGAGACCCCGUGGGAGUGGGGCACCUGGGUUUGCAGGGAAGGGGGCCAGUGGGGAGAGGGCGCUGAGCCAUUGAAACCAGUGCAGGUGUUUAGGUAGGUAAGAGCC
rnacentral:lncRNA from 1 species